rnacentral:lncRNA from 1 species
AAAACUCAAAUUGGUCAAAGGAGGACUUUUACCAAAUUAAUAUCAUCCAUUCAUUUUGGGAGAUGGAAUGUACAUUACAUCAAUCCCCUAAAUCCAAUGAUAUUAACUUGACAAAGUCAAAUCAACCUUGACCAAGGCCCAAAGGAGGACUUUUACCAAAUUAAUAUCAUCCAUUCAUUUUGGGAGAUGGAAUGUACAUUACAUCAAUCCCCUAAAUCCAAUGAUAUUAACUUGACAAAGUCAAAUC